GACGAACGCUGGCGGCGUGCUUAACACAUGCAAGUCGAACGGAAAGGCCCUGCUUUUGUGGUGUGCUCGAGUGGCGAACUGGUGAGUAACACGUGAGUAACCUGCCCUUGACUUUGGUAUAACUUCAUGAAACUGGGGCUAAUACCGGAUAGGAGCUCCUUCUGCAUGGUGUGGGUUGGAAAUUUUCGGCGGUUGGGGAUGGACUCGCGGCUUAUCAGCUUGUUGGUGGGGUAGUGGCUUACCAAGGCUUUGACGGGUAGCCGGCCUGUGAGGGUGACCGGCAACAUUGGGACUGAGAUACGGCACAGACGCCUACGGGAGGCAGCAGGGGGGAAGAUUGCAAAAUGGGCGGAAGCAUGAUGAAGAAACGCCGCGUGCGGGAUGACGGCCUUCGGGUUGUAAACCGAUUUCGCAUGUGACGAAGCGUGAGUGACGGUAAUGGGUAAAGAAGCACCGGCUAACUACGUG
rnacentral:rRNA from 1 species